CCUACGGGCGGCAGCAGUGAGGAAUAUUGGUCAAUGGGCGAGAGCCUGAACCAGCCAAGUCGCGUGAAGGAUGAAGGAUCUAUGGUUUGUAAACUUCUUUUAUAUGGGAAUAAAGUGAGGAACGUGUUCCUUUUUGUAUGUACCAUAUGAAUAAGCAUCGGCUAACUCCGUGCCAGCAGCCGCGGUAAUACGGAGGAUGCGAGCGUUAUCCGGAUUUAUUGGGUUUAAAGGGUGCGUAGGCGGACAGUCAAGUCAGCGGUAAAAAUGCGGUGCUCAACGCCGUACAGCCGUUGAAACUGGCAGUCUUGAGUGGGCGAGAAGUAUGCGGAAUGCGUGGUGUAGCGGU
rnacentral:rRNA from 1 species